rnacentral:rRNA from 1 species
GCGUGAGUGAUGAAGGCCCUAGGGUUGUAAAGCUCUUUUGUGCGGGAAGAUAAUGACGGUACCGCAAGAAUAAGCCCCGGCUAACUUCGUGCCAGCAGCCGCGGUAAUACGAAGGGGGCUAGCGUUGCUCGGAAUCACUGGGCGUAAAGGGUGCGUAGGCGGGUCUUUAAGUCAGGGGUGAAAUCCUGGAGCUCAACUCCAGAACUGCCUUUGAUACUGAAGAUCUUGAGUUCGGGAGAGGUGAGUGGAACUGCGAGUGUAGAGGUGAAAUUCGU